ACGAACGCUGGCGGCGUGGAUAAGACAUGCAAGUCGAACGGGAGAAUUGCUAGCUUGCUAAUAAUUCUCUAGUGGCGCACGGGUGAGUAACACGUGAGUAACCUGCCUCUUAGUGGGGGAUAGCCCUGGGAAACCGGGAUUAAUACCGCAUACGAUUGAAAGAUCAAAGCAGCAAUGCGCUAGGAGAUGGGCUCGCGGCCUAUUAGUUAGUUGGUGAGGUAACGGCUCACCAAGGCGAUGACGGGUAGCCGGUCUGAGAGGAUGUCCGGCCACACUGGAACUGAGACACGGUCCAGACACCUACGGGUGGCAGCAGUCGAGAAUCAUUCACAAUGGGGGCAACCCUGAUGGUGCGACGCCGCGUGGGGGAAUGAAGGUCUUCGGAUUGUAAACCCCUGUCAUGUGGGAGCAAAUUAAAAAGAUAGUACCACAAGAGGAAGAGACGGCUAACUCUGUGCCAGCAGCCGCGGUAAUACAGAGGUCUCAAGCGUUGUUCGGAAUCACUGGGCGUAAAGCGUGCGUAGGCUGUUUCGUAAGUCGUGUGUGAAAGGCAGGGGCUCAACCCCUGGAUUGCACAUGAUACUGCGAGACUAGAGUAAUGGAGGGGGAACCGGAAUUCUCGGUGUAGCAGUGAAAUGCGUAGAUAUCGAGAGGAACACUCGUGGCGAAGGCGGGUUCCUGGACAUUAACUGACGCUGAGGCACGAAGGCCAGGGGAGCGAAAGGGAUUAGAUACCCCUGUAGUCCUGGCAGUAAACGGUGCACGCUUGGUGUGCGGGGAAUCGACCCCCUGCGUGCCGGAGCUAACGCGUUAAGCGUGCCGCCUGGGGAGUACGGUCGCAAGAUUAAAACUCAAAGAAAUUGACGGGGACCCGCACAAGCGGUGGAGUAUGUGGCUUAAUUCGAUGCAACGCGAAGAACCUUACCUGGGCUUGACAUGUAAUGAACAACAUGUGAAAGCAUGCGACUCUUCGGAGGCGUUACACAGGUGCUGCAUGGCCGUCGUCAGCUCGUGUCGUGAGAUGUUUGGUUAAGUCCAGCAACGAGCGCAACCCCUGUUGCCUGUUACCAGCACGUCAAGGUGGGGACUCUGGCGAGACUGCCCAGAUCAACUGGGAGGAAGGUGGGGACGACGUCAGGUCAGUAUGGCCCUUAUGCCCAGGGCUGCACACGUACUACAAUGCCCAGUACAGAGGGGGCCGAAGCCGCGAGGCGGAGGAAAUCCUGAAAACUGGGCCCAGUUCGGACUGUAGGCUGCAACCCGCCUACACGAAGCCGGAAUCGCUAGUAAUGGCGCAUCAGCUACGGCGCCGUGAAUACGUUCCCGGGUCUUGUACACACCGCCCGUCACAUCAUGGAAGCCGGUCGCACCCGAAGUAUCUGAAGCCAACCGCAAGGAGGCAGGGUCCUAAGGUGAGACUGGUAACUGGGAUG
rnacentral:rRNA from 1 species